UUUUGGUGAGUUGUAGGGCGCUGUUGUGCUCCACUGUAAGGGUACUGUCUUAGGACACUCUUAGCAAGUGGUACUGUCAAGCUUUCCAGGUAAGGGAAGCUGAUUAUAUAUUUAAAUGGUUUGUUUGAUACGUGUGUAGGUUAAUUUCUAAAACAGUAUGUUUUUUCGUCUUAAAUGUCAUAUUUUAUGCUUGAGUGAUAUGUGUUAUGAUACUGUAAUUGUACAUGUAAAUUAUGGGAAUGAGUAAAUGUGUAAGGGGAGCAAUUUGAAUAAAUUAUAGUGUUACUGUUAGUUAUUGAUUUGUGCCUCCAUAUUACCAAUCGGUAUUUGGCGUUUUGAUAUAGUGAAGUUUGAGAAAAAAAAUGUUAUACGUUAUUGGGUUAGGUGUAACCAUCUUCCUUGGUCUUAUUCUCUUUGACAAUUUUGUAUGCAUGUGACGGGUUGUAGAUGUUUUUCUUGGAGUUUAAUUGGAUGUAUAAAAUAAAAAACGUGUUCUCAUUUAGGAUUCGAUGGGUGAAUGAGUGUAGUAGGGUAAAAAGAGGACUUGGUAUGUUUUGCGUGGUGAUUGGUGAAAAAAGGAAUGAGUGAGGAAAGAAGAAAGGUUUGCCGAGAGAUGAAAGGAGGUAGUGCGAUAGUUUGGGAGGCAUUUAGGUUGAAAUAGAUAGAGAAUAAAUCGGAAAGAAGAAAGUUUAGAAAGUAGGAGAUGAGGUGUGAGUUUUUGGGUUCUAUGUUCAAAUUUAAAUCGUUAGUGAGAGAGAGUUUGUUUUAAAGUGAUGUGUUUGAUAACGGUUGAAAAACAUUUAUUUUCAUAUGUCAUUUUAGACCAAAUUACACCAUUUAAGACUUAGAAUAAGCUUAGAAUCAAGUAAAACCCAAUAAAUGAGUCAGUCGAG
rnacentral:lncRNA from 1 species